rnacentral:rRNA from 1 species
AGUGAACGCUGGCGGUAGGCCUAACACAUGCAAGUCGAACGGCAGCACAGUAAGAGCUUGCUCUUACGGGUGGCGAGUGGCGGACGGGUGAGGAAUACAUCGGAAUCUACUUUUUCGUGGGGGAUAACGUAGGGAAACUUACGCUAAUACCGCAUACGACCUACGGGUGAAAGCAGGGGAUCUUCGGACCUUGCGCGAUUGAAUGAGCCGAUGUCGGAUUAGCUAGUUGGCGGGGUAAAGGCCCACCAAGGCGACGAUCCGUAGCUGGUCUGAGAGAAUGAUCAGCCACACUGGAACUGAGACACGGUCCAGACUCCUACGGGAGGCAGCAGUGGGGAAUAUUGGACAAUGGGCGCAAGCCUGAUCCAGCCAUACCGCGUGGGUGAAGAAGGCCUUCGGGUUGUAAAGCCCUUUUGUUGGGAAAGAAAAGCAGCAGGUUAAUACCCCGCUGUUCUGACGGUACCCAAAGAAUAAGCACCGGCUAACUUCGUGC